AGCGAACGCUGGCGGCAGGCCUAACACAUGCAAGUCGAACGAACCCUUCGGGGUUAGUGGCGGACGGGUGAGUAACACGUGGGAACGUGCCCUUAGGUUCGGAAUAACUCAGGGAAACGUGUGCUAAUACCGAAUGAGCUCUUCGGGGGAAAGAUUUAUCGCCUUUAGAGCGGCCCGCGUCUGAUUAGCUAGUUGGUUGAGGUAAUGGCUCACCAAGGCGACGAUCAGUAGCUGGUCUGAGAGGAUGAUCAGCCACAUUGGGACUGAGACACGGCCCAAACUCCUACGGGAGGCAGCAGUGGGGAAUCUUGCGCAAUGGGCGAAAGCCUGACGCAGCCAUGCCGCGUGAGUGAUGAAGGUCUUAGGAUUGUAAAAUUCUUUCACCGGGGACGAUAAUGACGGUACCCGGAGAAGAAGCCCCGGCUAACUUCGUG
rnacentral:rRNA from 1 species